rnacentral:ribozyme from 1 species
CUCCUACGGAGCACUGGUAAGGUAUGGAUCCGAAGCCUCUUGAAGGUCAACAAAGGCUCUCUAUACCCUACUUCGCCUCAAUACGUCCCCGGCGUAUAGAACGGUAACAUGUCUCUCCAAAUAUCUGAGCUUGGGAAGAUGGGAGAUAGGGCUAAAUUGAGCGGA